rnacentral:rRNA from 1 species
UCCCUCAAAGACGAUGAGGUAGAUAGGUUCGGGGUGGAAGCGUGGCGACACGUGCAGCUGACGAAUACUAAUCGAUCGAGGACUUAACCA